ensembl:lncRNA
GGGGCUAAUUUAGCUACAUCUGUCAGUGUCAUUCACACUUUCACCUUUUGUCCUGACUCUAAAAAGCGAAUUGCGUGAUUCUCGUUAUUUCUGGCUUCAAUAGGAACAGAAACACACACCCACACGAUCGGUGAGAACAUGACAAAAAAGAACAGCCAAGACGGAAGAUUGUACAACAGGGUGAGUGGCAGUUUGGAAGAAUAAGGAUCAGCUCAAGUUGAAAGAACUCUCGGCUGUAUAAGUGUCAGUACUUGUUCGUACAAUGACUUCACGAACUAAUACAAUUUACAUGUUAUUAUUUACAUAAGUGUACUCUAUUGUGUUGCUAUUGUUUUUGAAGGAAUCGGUUCAGCGUGGUGUGUGUGUCUAGCUACACAAUCUACUAUUGUCUUGAGUCGUUAGUAGAAUAUACUAUUAUCAUAGUACUUUGAAACUAACUAGCAAAACUAACUUGACCUUUCGUUUGCCCCUUUGUAAGCAGUCCGACCUCAACAGUUGGCUGGGAUUCACCAGUUGUUAUGUCAGGAGUUUGGCUGUUUGUUACGUUGCUAUGGAAACUGUUUUCCUUUUGGAGGAUUGAAAGCCACGGGACAAGUUAGGAAGAGGAUGGGACUCACACCUUAAUAAAAACAAUCUUCUUUCUAAUAUUAAACUAACAUUUUGAAUGCAGACUGAAAGCACUGGCCUAGUGUAGUCUUUGUAUCUCAAUGAACCAGAUUACGGUUCAAGUUAUUGAUGGACACAUAUAUUUUGAACAUAGAGACAGGCAAUUUGGCAUGAACAAAAGAACAACAUUUGUCUAUCUUUUUCCUCUGAGAAGAUCCAUCUGGUUCUAUUUCUACAGUUGGUUUGUCUUAGAUACGGCCGUGCAAACAGACCGCGAGGAAAAACACUGCGAUGCAGAUUGAUCAAGUAGCAUGUGCAGCUGUCAGGUCACCAGUCCACUUCUUUUCAAGACUUUUAUUUUGAACGGUCUUCCAGCGCUCCAUAACCAAAGCUCCAUCAUUGUUUCUCCGCUCUAUCAGCAAAUAAUUCCACGUAGACAUUGCCAUUAAUUUUGCUAGUCCACACGUUGAGAGGUAUUGAAGGAGUGUGAGAGACCUAGGGAUUCAAAGCACAAGGGCUGGGUCGUUUAAAGUGCGUAUUUCGUUUGUUUCGUUGACGCCACCGGGAAGCCCAUGCUAUUUGGGUUUAGAUGGCUGUGCCCUAAAUUCAAAACAAUGCAGGAUUUCGGUCUCAGGGGAAUCUGACCUCCGAUCUGUAACCAUGUCUCUAUAAACUUGCGUUGUUUCUCUCUCUAUCCAUUUUGUGUAAAUAACGUGGGUACGGGAUUUCAGUGGUUGGACCAAUAGGAAACAGACAUAAAACACCCUUCCCUGUGGAGGGAAGAUAAUUAACAAUGGCAUUUGGUUAAUGUAAGAAAGACAACGAUAUUGUGUAUGAUACACUGAAAAAGCCUUGCUGUGCCAAGUAUUAUUGCAUAAAAAUGCACAUUGAGCCGAUACCAUUGUCCAAUUUCUACAAACUCACUUUAACUCAUCUAUGAGUUACUUACUUUAUUUGUUAGAUUUGACCCUAUCCUGUGUUUUUCCCAGUGUCUUUGGGGGGAUUUAGCCCAGCUGGGAUCGGGACGGGAUGGUCAGAUGGACAAUGGAUGGCAACGUUUGUUCUCACCACAUUCAUGUGAUAUUGAAUGUAGUGGUACGGAGGGUGUCAGGGUUGAUGCUCUGUUGUUUUUCAUUCUUGCCUCCCCCCCUGCCCUCAUAACAAGACAGGCCAAGUUUGUGCCAUGUAUUCGCCAACAAAAUUCCCCUUUCCCUACUUCUGCUCCAACUCAAUACGGGUCAUUUUAGUCCACCGCUAAAUUCUGGCUGAACUCCUAGCCGUCGUGGUGGGGGGGUGCUACAAUAACUGUCAACCCGUUUAUUGAUGUAUUUACUUAUUUAUUAAUUUAAUGCGCUGUUCUGCUCGCGCAGCAGAGUUCGGGAGGCCAGCCGUCCAAACCGCGCAAAGUUCUGAAGUUCCGUCUUUGUUGUGUGAGAACACAGAGUAAGUGUGCACGAGAGACGCCAGGCCCACGUGCACUUUGUUAUUUCAGGAAACUCUUUGGAAGUAGUGCUUCUACACCGGUGUAUAGUCUCAAUAUAGUGUGUGUGUGUGUGUGUGUGUGUGUGUGUGUGUGUGUGUGUGUGUGUGUGUGUGUGUGUCUAGGCGAAGAAUAUUGUUAGGGGUCGAAAGUAAAUUCAGUGUUUCAAAUCUUUGAGAGAGGGAGUUAGAGAAGGGGUGGGUGGGUGGGUGUGUGUGUGUGGGGGGAGGGACCGGAAAGGUGGUUAUUAUUAAAGAUAAUAAAAAGUUAGAGAGCAGCCACUCUGGUGGUUUCAAAUAGGAGAUGAAAAGGAAAAGUACAUUCAUUCCCUUCUUUCCUUUUUUUCUUUCUGUUUCAAAGUCCCACUACAUGAGUCGGUGUGAGUAGUGCAGGGCCGCUCGCUGCCUCAUACCACCAUGCUAGCCGGGUCAGACCACCCAGCCCAAAGAGCAGGACGCUUUAUUCCUGUUAUUCCUAGACCUCCGAUACCUCCACCUUAUUGGGGUGGAUGCCUGGCUUCGGGCCCACCCUGGAUUUCGACAAUUCGGAGCAAUCUGUAAUUACGUUUGAUCUCAUAUUUAAAAAAUAAUAUUAAGUAGACAAUCAGCUAUGUAUGCAAGUAGACUAGUUUAAUCAUGUGUGGUCACAACGUUAGCUUUUUAAUAGAAGUAAGCCGUGUUUAGUACUAGCUCGGCAGGACGAUAGAAUGUUCCGGAGUUUGAAUGCCGUAUUUUUGGAGAGUUUUGUAUAUGUUAAGCCAUUCAUUGCUGUCGAACACUUCAAGGGUUGAAAACACAUUUUACAUGUUUUUGAACUAGAGUACUCAAACACACUCAAUACAUAAGUGUAGUCUUUAACAUAUUUUGGAGGUAAAUUCCCUUAUUGUUGUUGAAUGAAUGCAUUCAGCGGGGGGGUUUGUGAGCCAUGGCUAUGUUUAUCCCUUGCAUACUUUAACUGGCUGGUUGAAUAGUACCUUUUUCUUUUCAAAGGAACGAUGUCGUUUGGAAGCUUGAGAGUAUCAUUACGUUUUUUUAGGUAUAUGCAACUGCAUAGCUCAGAGGUAUGAACAAAAUCAUUCUCUUCAUGUUUGAUUCCAUGAUCCAUCACGAGAUAAUUUGGUAUUUGUUACAAUUGUUGUCAGACCAUGUAUUUAACCACUCAAAUAGCAGGUUGUCAAAGCACUGUAAAAUGAAAGUAUUUUUUUCUUUCUUUCUGAAAUAAAUAUUUAUUAUGCGUUUCAAAGGGAUUCUUCAUGCUUCAUUUACAUACAACUUGUCGAAAAUAAAAUACAAUGCAAAUAUGCCUGAUUGAAUGUUAUUUUUAUCUAUAUAUAAAAAUAACAUUCAAUCAGGCAUAUUUGCAUUGUAUUUUAUAUAUAUGUGUGUGUGUGUGUGUGUGUGUGUGUGUGUGUGUGUGUGUGUGUGUGUGUGUGUGUGUGUGUGUGUGUGUGUGUGUGUGUGUGUGUAUAUAUAUAUAUAUAUAUAUAUUAUAUAUAUAUAU